UACAGGGGGGGCAAGCGUUGUUCGGAAUUACUGGGCGUAAAGGGCUCGUAGGCGGCCAACUAAGUCACACGUGAAAUCCCCAGGCUCAACCUGGGAACUGCGUGUGAUACUGGAUGGCUUGAAUUCGGGAGAGGGAUGCAGAAUUCCAGGUGUAGCGGUGAAAUGCGUAGAUAUCUGGAGGAAUACCGGUGGCGAAGGCGGCAUCCUGGACCGACAUUGACGCUGAUGAGCGAAAGCUAGGGGAGCAAACAGG
rnacentral:rRNA from 1 species